CCUAGUAACGGCGAGUGAAGCGGCAACAGCUCAAAUUUGAAAUCUGGCUUCGGCCCGAGUUGUAAUUUGUAGAGGAUGCUUUUGGUGAGGUGCCUUCUGAGUUCCCUGGAACGGGACGCCAGAGAGGGUGAGAGCCCCGUAUAGUCGGCCACCGAUCCUUUGUAAAGCUCCUUCGACGAGUCGAGUAGUUUGGGAAUGCUGCUCAAAAUGGGAGGUAUAUCUCUUCUAAAGCUAAAUAUUGGCCAGAGACCGAUAGCGCACAAGUAGAGUGAUCGAAAGAUGAAAAGCACUUUGAAAAGAGGGUUAAAUAGCACGUGAAAUUGUUGAAAGGGAAGCGCUUGUGACCAGACUUGUGCCGGGCUGAUCAUCCAGUGUUCUCACUGGUGCACUCGACCCGGCUCAGGCCAGCGUCGGUUCUCGUAGGGGGAUAAAAGCUUCGGGAACGUGGCACCUUCGGGUGUGUUAUAGCCCGUUGCUUAAUACCCUUGUGGGGACCGAGGUUCGCGCUCUGCAAGGACGCUGGCAUAAUGGUCAUCAGCGACCCGUCUUGAAACACGGACCAAGGAGUCGAGGUUUUGCGCGAGUGUUUGGGUGUAAAACCCGCACGCGUAAUGAAAGUGAACGUAGGUGAGAGCUUCGGCGCAUCAUCGACCGAUCCUGAUGUAUUCGGAUGGAUUUGAGUAAGAGCGUAUAGCCUCGGACCCGAAAGAUGGUGAACUAUGCCUGAAUAGGGUGAAGCCAGAGGAAACUCUGGUGGAGGCUCGCAGCGGUUCUGACGUGCAAA
rnacentral:rRNA from 1 species